rnacentral:tRNA from 1 species
UUAGUUUAUUUAUAAAAUAAGGGUUCAAAUCCCUUUAGUCAUAUACAUGAUUUAAA